ACAGAUGGAACAUGGUCCAGGCUUGAUGCAGAAACAGGUGAACAGUUUUGGAACACUGAGCCAUUGACUGCCUGCACCAGGUGGCUGUGUUACAAGUGGGCACUGGACUACAGCCAUAUAUACUGAACCAUUGACUGCCUGCACCAGGUGGCUGUGUUACAAGUGGGCACUGGACUACAGCCAUAUAUACUGAACCAUUGACUGCCUGCACCAGGUGGCUGUGUUACAAGUGGGCACUGGACUACAGCCAUAUAUACUGAACCAUUGACUGCCUGCACCAGGUGGCUGUGUUACAAGUGGGCACUGGACUACAGCCAUAUAUACUGAACCAUUGACUGCCUGCACCAGGUGGCUGUGUUACAAGUGGGCACUGGACUACAGCCAUAUAUACUGAACCAUUGACUGCCUGCACCAGGUGGCUGUGUUACAAGUGGGCACUGGACUACAGCCAUAUAUACUGAACCAUUGACUGCCUGCACCAGGUGGCUGUGUUACAAGUGGGCACUGGACUACAGCCAUAUAUACUGAACCAUUGACUGCCUGCACCAGGUGGCUGUGUUACAAGUGGGCACUGGACUACAGCCAUAUAUACUGAACCAUUGACUGCCUGCACCAGGUGGCUGUGUUACAAGUGGGCACUGGACUACAGCCAUAUAUACUGAACCAUUGACUGCCUGCACCAGGUGGCUGUGUUACAAGUGGGCACUGGACUACAGCCAUAUAUACUGAACCAUUGACUGCCUGCACCAGGUGGCUGUGUUACAAGUGGGCACUGGACUACAGCCAUAUAUACUGAACCAUUGACUGCCUGCACCAGGUGGCUGUGUUACAAGUGGGCACUGGACUACAGCCAUAUAUACUGAACCAUUGACUGCCUGCACCAGGUGGCUGUGUUACAAGUGGGCACUGGACUACAGCCAUAUAUACUGAACCAUUGACUGCCUGCACCAGGUGGCUGUGUUACAAGUGGGCACUGGACUACAGCCAUAUAUACUGAACCAUUGACUGCCUGCACCAGGUGGCUGUGUUACAAGUGGGCACUGGACUACAGCCAUAUAUACUGAACCAUUGACUGCCUGCACCAGGUGGCUGUGUUACAAGUGGGCACUGGACUACAGCCAUAUAUACUGAACCAUUGACUGCCUGCACCAGGUGGCUGUGUUACAAGUGGGCACUGGACUACAGCCAUAUAUACUGAACCAUUGACUGCCUGCACCAGGUGGCUGUGUUACAAGUGGGCACUGGACUACAGCCAUAUAUACUGAACCAUUGACUGCCUGCACCAGGUGGCUGUGUUACAAGUGGGCACUGGACUACAGCCAUAUAUACUGAACCAUUGACUGCCUGCACCAGGUGGCUGUGUUACAAGUGGGCACUGGACUACAGCCAUAUAUACUGAACCAUUGACUGCCUGCACCAGGUGGCUGUGUUACAAGUGGGCACUGGACUACAGCCAUAUAUACUGAACCAUUGACUGCCUGCACCAGGUGGCUGUGUUACAAGUGGGCACUGGACUACAGCCAUAUAUACUGAACCAUUGACUGCCUGCAUC